GAUCAUGGCUCAGGAUGAACGCUAGCUACAGGCUUAACACAUGCAAGUCGAGGGGCAGCGCAGUGUAGUAAUACAUGGGCGGCGACGGCGCACGGGUGCGUAACGCGUAUCCAACCUUCCCGUUACUCUUGGAUAGCCUUCCGAAAGGGNGAUUAAUACAAGAUGGUAUUCAAAUUCCGCAUGUUAUUUGAACUAAAGAUUUAUCGGUAACGGAUGGGGAUGCGUGACAUUAGAUAGUAGGCGGGGUAACGGCCCACCUAGUCUACGAUGUCUAGGGGUUCUGAGAGGAAGGUCCCCCACACUGGAACUGAGACACGGUCCAGACUCCUACGGGAGGCAACAGUGAGGAAUAUUGGUCAAUGGUCGGAAGACUGAACCAGCCAAGUAGCGUGAAGGAUGAAGGUUCUAUGGAUUGUAAACUUCUUUUAUACGGGAAUAACAUCACCUACGUGUAGGUGCCUGCAUGUACCGUAUGAAUAGGCAUCGGCUAACUCCGUG
rnacentral:rRNA from 1 species